AUUGAACGCUGGCGGCAGGCCUAACACAUGCAAGUCGAACGGUAACAGGAAGAAGCUUGCUUCUUUGCUGACGAGUGGCGGACGGGUGAGUAAUGUCUGGGAAACUGCCUGAUGGAGGGGGAUAACUACUGGAAACGGUAGCUAAUACCGCAUAACGUCGCAAGACCAAAGAGGGGGACCUUCGGGCCUCUUGCCAUCGGAUGUGCCCAGAUGGGAUUAGCUAGUAGGUGGGGUAACGGCUCACCUAGGCGACGAUCCCUAGCUGGUCUGAGAGGAUGACCAGCCACACUGGAACUGAGACACGGUCCAGACUCCUACGGGAGGCAGCAGUGGGGAAUAUUGCACAAUGGGCGCAAGCCUGAUGCAGCCAUGCCGCGUGUAUGAAGAAGGCCUCGGUUGUAAAGUACUUUACAG
rnacentral:rRNA from 1 species